rnacentral:rRNA from 1 species
CGUAGGGGGCAAGCGCUGUCCGGAUUUAUUGGGCGUAAAGAGCGUGUAGGCGGCCAAGCAGGUCCGCUGUGAAAACUCGAGGCUUAACCUCGAGACAUCGGUGGAAACCGUUUGGCUAGAGUCCGGAAGAGGAGAGUGGAAUUCCCGGUGUAGCGGUGAAAUGCGCAGAUAUCGGGAAGAACACCCGUGGCGAAGGCGGCUCUCUGGGACGGUACUGACGCUGAGACGCGAAAGCGUGGGGAGCGAACAGGAUUAGAUACCCUGGUAGUCCACGCCGUAAACGAUGGGUGCUAGGUGUGGGCGGUGUCGACUCCGUCUGUGCCGAAGCUAACGCAUUAAGCACCCCGCCUGGGGAGUACGGCCGCAAGGCUA